rnacentral:sRNA from 1 species
UGACUAGUGAGCUCCGAUGGUUCGCAUC